ensembl:lncRNA
CCAGAGUGGAAGGGGUGGGGGCCGUGGGAGAGGUAUAGGGAGGAGGGGCCACCAGGUCUUCCGGGGGAACAGAGAAAGCAGAGGACUCAGAGAGGGUGGGGCGAGAGCGCAACGCCCAGAAGGCCUGAACAUAGCGGACCUCAGACCAUUUUCCCGUUCUCCGGCAGUAAUUAUCUAAAUCACGGAGGACGUCAAAGUCAAAUGUCCCUGUGGUUGGCCACUGCGAGCCAUUAUCUAGGGGAUACUGAGGCCAGGCUUGUGAACACAGAAAAGUGAGCUGCUUGGGGCGGAUAUAUCCCUUUAGUCUUAGGGUCCUCAGGUUAGCCAGCAGGCACUCUAAAGGGGUGGAGUAUUGGGGAUCGGGUUUGGAGGCCGUCGAUCCCAUGGCGACCACAGAGUGUGGAGGCAACCCCCGCUGCCCAAACGUCUUCGGACGUGCCAAGGGAAGCCGGAGGUCCAUGCAGCCGUUCGGAACGUCUUCCUCACGAGCUGGGGACCGGGAAGGGCCGAAGCCAGAGGUCUACUCAGCCGCUGGGGACGUCUCCCCUACAAGCUGGUGACCGGGAGGGCCCAGUAAGUGCACACCCGUUACCGGGCCCUAGGAGGUGGUCGCCAGGGAGGGCGGGCCCCAAAGCCGAAGGGACUUACCCCGUAUCCUGCCGUCCGGGGGGUUGGUCAGCCGCCUGGGUCCGGGGCUUCCGCGGCGGUGGAGCUCGAGGGGGCCUCAACGGCGAGUGCCGGGGGCCCUCACCUCGAGCCCCACGUUGGGUGCCAGAUGUAAGAAACGCCGCGGGAAGAAAGAGCCCCCUCUAUGGACCGUUGAUCAGAGCCUUUAUUGGGCGGUCGCUCUCAGGCAGAACUCCCGGGGGCGGGUGAGCAAGGAAGCAAAGGGAGUCUGCGAGGUAUGAGGGGUGGGGAAAGGUUUUAUAGCCAGGGCCGGGCUCCCAUAUAAGGAAGAAAGCGCGGGCUCAGCGGUGGUUGGUGUCCAAGGGCUCCGUGUCGGCACCUGAUUGGACGGCUUGGUUGUCGGCCCGCCUCCGGGACUUGUCUGCGGCACUUUUUCGGGGCAUGCCUCAACACACCCGGGCAUGCCUCAACAUGUCUGGGCUUGCCUCAACAUGCCCGACCGUUCAAGUAGCAUAUUGGGCGCCUACUCACCUGGGGAGUACAUCUUUAAGUGUCCUAUCUUUUUUCCUUUUCAUACUGUUCAUGGGGAUCAAGGCAAGAACACUGAAGUGAUUUGCCAUUCCCUUCUCCAGUGGACCACAUUUUGUCAGAACUCUCCACCAUGACCCGUCCAACUUGGGUGGCCCUAUACAGCUGGCUUCUUUUGAUGAGUUAGACAAGGCUGUGGUCCGUGUGAUCUGAUUGGCGACGUUGCUGUGACUGUGGUUUCAGUCUCUCAAUCCUCUGAUGCCCUCUCUGAGCUCUUACCGUCUUCCUUGAGUUUCUCUUACGCUGUACGUGGGGUAUUCACGGCUUCUGCAGCAAAGCACCGUCGCUGCUCCUUACUUAAGGUGUGGAGUAUCUCUUCCCAUCUGUUCCAGCAAAGCGCCGCUGCCGCUUCUUACUUUCAGCGUGGGGUAUUUCUUCUCACCAGUUCCAACAAAGCACAGCUGCUGCUCCUUACCUUGGACGUGUGGUGUCUACUCUUGGCCACUCGCUGCUCCAAUUUGCCGUGAUUCGUGUCCCUGACAUUCCAGGUACCUAUGUAAUAUUGCCCUUUACAGCAAUGGAAUUUCACCACUCCGCUGGGUGGUGUUUUCCCUUGGCUCCGUCUCUUCAUUCUUCCUGCAGUUCAGUCUCCAAUGAUCUCCAGUGGCAUAUUGGAUACGUACUGACCUGGGAAGUUCCAAUUUCAUGAUCCUGUCAUUUUUCCUUUUCAUACUCUUCAUGGAGUUCUCAAGGCAAGAACACUGAAGUGGUUUGCCAAUCCCUGUCUAGUGGACACGUUUUGUGUGACCUCUCCACCUUGACCCGUCCGUCAUCAGUGACCGUACAUGGCAUGGUUUAGUGUCGUUGAGUUAGACAAGGCUGUGGUCUAUGAUAUCAGAUUGGCUACUUUGCUGUGACUGUGGUUUCAGUCUGUCUGUCCUCUGAUACCCUUUCUGAGCUCUUACCAUCUUACUUGGGUUUCACUUAAUGUUGGAUGUAGGGUAUCUCUUCACCGCUGCUCAAGCAAAGCACAGCCGUGGCUCCUUACCUUGAACGUUGAGUAUCUCCUCUCGGCCACUGGGGUUGAAUUUGGACAAGGGGUUUUCCUCUCAGCCGCUCGCUGCUCCAUUUUCCCUUGACUCUUGGUCGUAACGUUCCAGGAUCCUAUGCAGUACUGCUCUUCACAGCAUUGGACUUUCUUUCUAUAACCAGUCACAUCCAAAUUGGUGGCUGUUCCUGCUUUGGCUCCGACUCUUUUUCUGGAGUUAGUUUUCCACCUAUCUUCAGUAGCGUAUUGGGCAACUACUGACCUGGGGAGUUCAUCUUUCAGUGGCCUGUCUUUUUACUUUUCAUACUGUUCAUGGGGUUCUCAAGGCAAGAAUACUGGAGUGGUUUCCCAUUGCCUUGUGCAGUCGACCACUUUUUGUCAGAACGCUGCAGCAUGACCCGUCCGUCUUGGUGGCCUUCCAGGGCAUGGCUCUUCAGUUCUUUGAGUUGGAUGAGGCUGUGGUCCAUGUGACCAGAUUAGCUGCUUUGCUGUGAGUGUGGUUUCAGUCUGUCUGCCCUCUGAAGCCUUCUCUCAGCCUCUACUGCCUUAAUGCAGUUUUUCUUACCUUGGACUUGGGGCAUCUCUUCACGGGACUCCAGCAAAGCCAGCCGCUGCCCCUGACCUUGGACCUGGGGUAUCUCCUCUUGGUCAC